AAACUGCGAUAAGUCGUGUGAAUUGCAGGGUUCAGCGAAUCACGAAAUCCUCGAACGCACCUUGCGCUCCUGGGACCUCUCCUAGGAGCACGCCUGUUUGAGCGUCGUUUAACAACAAUCAUCAAACACAAAGCUUUAAUGAUUUGUGCAUUGAUGGAGGUUGGAGUGUUCGGUUCCAAAGAGUAAAAUCUUUGGUCGAUCCUCUUAAACAAAGCAGAGAUGGCUUCUUUCGAUUCUAGCGAUCGAUCAGUUUCUCAUCAAAAAGUGCUUACACAUUGGAAGAUUCUCUUAAUUGAGGUUCAUUAAUUUGUGUUUAGCCGAGAAAUUGGCAGUGCUGUUGAAAGAUUGUUUCAAUGGAUCUCUGAACAGUUAGAAAAAAGCAAGAAAGAAUUUAACGAUUCUUUCUUCAACUUGCGACCUCAAAUCAAGCGAGACUACCCGCUGAACUUAAGC
rnacentral:misc_RNA from 1 species